rnacentral:rRNA from 1 species
GACGAACGCUGGCGGCGUGCUUAACACAUGCAAGUCGAACGGAAAGGCCCUGCUUUUGUGGUGUGCUCGAGUGGCGAACGGGUGAGUAACACGUGAGUAACCUGCCCUUGACUUUGGGAUAACUUCAGGAAACUGGGACUAAUACCGGAUAGGAGCUCCUGCUGCAUGGUGGGGGUUGGAAAGUUUCGGCGGUUGGGGAUGGACUCGCGGCUUAUCAGCUUGUUGGUGGGGUAGUGGCUUACCAAGGCUUUGACGGGUAGCCGGCCUGAGAGGGUGACCGGCCACAUUGGGACUGAGAUACGGCCCAGACUCCUACGGGAGGCAGCAGUGGGGAAUAUUGCACAAUGGGCGGAAGCCUGAUGCAGCAACGCCGCGUGCGGGAUGACGGCCUUCGGUUUGUAAACCGCUUUCGCCUGUGACGAAGCGUGAGUGACGGUAAUGGGUAAAGAAGCACCGGCUAACUACGUG